rnacentral:rRNA from 1 species
CCUACGGGGCGCAGCAGUGGGGAAUAUUGGACAAUGGGCGAAAGCCUGAUCCAGCAAUGCCGCGUGUGUGAAGAAGGUCUUCGGAUUGUAAAGCACUUUCGACGGGGACGAUGACGACGGUACCCGUAGAAGAAGCCCCGGCCAGCUUCGUGCCAGCAGCCGCGGUAAUACGAAGGGGGCUAGCGUUGUUCGGAAUGACUGGGCGUAAAGGGCGCGUAGGCGGUUUAUGCAGUCAGAUGUGAAAUCCCCGGGCUUAACCUGGGAACUGCAUUUGAGACGCAUAGACUAGAGGUCGAGAGAGGGUUGUGGAAUUCCCAGUGUAGAGGUGAAAUACGUAGAUAUUGGGAAGAACACCGGUGGCGAAGGCGGCUACCUGGCUCGAUACUGACGCUGAGGCGCGAAAGCGUGGGGAGCAAACAGGAUUAGAUACCCGUGUAGUC